GGAGGUGGUAAGCUUAUGUGUACGGGCAAACACACGAAAAAAAAAAGAAUCAAGUCAUGUAUUUGGCUUGGUUUUUUUUUAUUUUUAUUUUAUACCCGUGGGAAGGUCUGAGGAAAGCCAUUAUGCUCUUACCGAGUAACUCGUUUAUUUACGGGUGUAAGUAACCAGAAACAAAUGGUGGGGGAUUAGGCUUGUUCUUUGACGGAUACCCUUCAAGGUAUUCUGAGGAUUGUCCUUUUCUCCUUUUAUUGAAAUGCUUGCGGGUUUUAGUACUAUGCAGUGCAAUACAUAAGGCUGACACUGUCAGUAACUCGAUUCAGACUACUCUGCCCCCUCC
rnacentral:RNase_P_RNA from 1 species